rnacentral:rRNA from 1 species
GAUGAACGCUGGCGGCGUGCCUAAUACAUGCAAGUCGAGCGAACGGACGAGAAGCUUGCUUCUCUGAUGUUAGCGGCGGACGGGUGAGUAACACGUGGAUAACCUACCUAUAAGACUGGGAUAACUUCGGGAAACCGGAGCUAAUACCGGAUAAUAUUUUGAACCGCAUGGUUCAAAAGUGAAAGACGGUCUUGCUGUCACUUAUAGAUGGAUCCGCGCUGCAUUAGCUAGUUGGUAAGGUAACGGCUUACCAAGGCAACGAUGCAUAGCCGACCUGAGAGGGUGAUCGGCCACACUGGAACUGAGACACGGUCCAGACGCCUACGGGAGGCAGCAGUAGGGAAUCUUCCGCAAUGGGCGAAAGCCUGACGGAGCAACGCCGCGUGAGUGAUGAAGGGCUUCGGAUCGUAAAACUCUGUUAUUAGGGAAGAACAUAUGUGUAAGUAACUGUGCACAUCUUGACGGUACCUAAUCAGAAAGCCACGGCUAACUACGU